rnacentral:lncRNA from 1 species
UACCGCUAUCAUCCACUACACUAUAAUGCUCUACACUAACCAACUGUAGGAAAUGUCAAAUCUGACCAAAUCCAAAUCGGGACUGUAAGCAUACCCGUCCCCGGGACUGUGAAUACACCCGUCCCUGCCCCGCUGCGACUAUCGGCUCUAUCCACACUAACUGGUCCGUGGAGAGCAAGUCCAACUGGCAUGAGCGACACCAACGCAAAAGCACAAGCCUGACUCCGGAGUGGCACUCGUAGGCGCUACCCAACCGAGUAUGCAGCGUAUCUCUGUCGAGCUCAAUCAGGCUCCAACUAGCCAAAGUCAAGAAAUCGACUCAAACUGGUCUAACAACCAACAGGUAACGUGCUCUCGGCACAAUCUGACGCCAAAAAGGCGAUACGGGUCCACCGUCAACUCUGACAGCACCCAACAGUCCGAAACGACCUGAACGACCCUGUAAAAAUUCACUCGGCGAACCAGCACGAGUGUAAAUACAUUCUAAACUACCUGGAGUACUCGUCUCGAAGAAACUGCGACAGUACAAUUUUCUAACGGCUCCUAGAGCUAAAUUAGGUAGUUAAAACUAGUGACAGGUCCAAAUCGCAGGUUUUCUCCUAAUUCAAUUUCCAAGUCCAACAUGUAUAGUCUAUUUACUUGAUAAAAUAUGCUCGAAAAUUCAGAUUUUACAUUCUAAAAAUAAUCCAUGAAUUUGAGCUAACAACUAUUGUAGAAAUCACGAUUUACACAUGUCGACUAAUAACACUUAGGAGUAAAACCGAUGUAACCCACCUAAAAUGCUAAUCCCUGGCAGCGAAGGACUCCCCCCUGGUGUAGAGCAACCUGCUGGAUCACCCGGAACCCGCCGAGUACAGAAAUCGCCUAAGCUCGAGCUCUACGCAACAAAAAUCACCAAUUCAGUCCAGAAAUCACAGCAGUGAGGUACAACAGGGAUUCGACCAAGAUAACCUUCACCAAAUCCAGCAAGUAAGGACUUCGUGGAUUCCUCUCGCAGUCCUGAAUCCAACGAACAAAGCCUCGUCGCGAUCCGACGUUCCUACGCGGAGAACGAGCUGAAAUAUGAACAGUCGACGGCGGAUUUCAGCAAAACAGCUACUAACCGAGUAGAAAUAGUAACACUUGCCCAAAAUCCAGAAAAAACGCCGAAUCACCCACCUCGACAGCGUCGAACCUCGGCGCGACGUCAAGAACAGUGAAGACGCUCCCUCGCCCGGCCUCCUCGCAAAGCUCCGGCAGCAAGCGCGCUCGAACGGCUCGCGGCGCGACGUCGGCGACGAAAUCCCCAACCGGACUCUCCACCACACCUAGAGAGAGAGAGGAGAAGAAGAAGAUGGAGAAGAACAGGAAGUACUCUCUCUCUCUCUGCUCGGACACUUAAGAGGAGAGGGGAGGUGAGGGAGAUACAAACGAGGUGAGAUUUUACUGAUUUAGCCCUCUACCUACUCCCUUGUAUCGGUACACGGGAUCCUGUACCGGUACAAGAGCGAACCCGAGAGCAGUUGAGUUGUUUCGCGCUGGUUGUACCGGUACAGCCACUAAGCUUGUACCGGUACAGCAAGCAGAGAAUGCUGCUGUUUGCAAAAUUCUUCGCGAUAAGCUGCCCUCGCGUCGCACGGAGUCCGUUUUACGUCUAUUUGACGCCAACGCGACUCGGACUUGUCCUGACACUCUCCAGAGCUGUCGACAAGCCUCCACAGUCAAACACCAAGGAUCUCACAGUAAUGGGGCCAAUGACUCCACAGUAGGAAUCUGCGCAGGAGUGGGAGCGAUCCAACUGCUUAAGCUUGAUGCUUAUAAAGUCUAGAGUAUCAAAAAGUAUAAGGGGAUUAAUUACAAAAUGUAAUAAAGCCAAGCAUUACCUAAAGGCUAGAGGAGCAGUUUGUCAGCUCCGAUAAAGCUUUGGCGAGCACGCUGAUGAAGCGACUUUCGGUUAUCAAGUACAGUCGAGCCAAAGGUAUGCGCGAGCAUAUCAUGGAGAUGCGGAACAUAGUGGCUCAACUAAAGGUUUUAAAAGUUGAGAUCUCGGACACUUUUUUAGUCCAUUUAAUUCUAAACUCAUUACCGUUUGAGUUUUACCCUUUUAAGAUCUCUUAUAAUACACAUAAGAAUGAAUGGUCAAUAAAUAAAUUAUUGAUCAUGUGUGUUCAAGAAGAGGAAAGACUUAAGCAGGAGAAGCCAGAAAUUAUAACAGAAUCUGUGAAUUUGGCGACUCAGCGCAAAAAGGGAAAGAGCAAGGGUGCCUCUAAUUACAAGAAGUCAGCUCAGUUGCCAAUAAAAAAUUCUGGUAAGAAAAAUCAAUGCUAUUUCUGUAAAAAGAAAGGACACAUGAAAAAUAACUGCUUGAAGUAUAAAGCUUGGCUCGAGAAGAAAGGUAUUGAAACUAUCUGUAUUUGUUAUGAAUCUCAUUUAGUUAAUGUUCCUAAAAACACAUGGUGGAUUGACUCUGGAACUACUGUACAUAUCUCAAAUAUCAUAUAGGAUUUUCACAACCUAACGAUGUUGAAACCAAAUGAAAGGAUUUUAAUUAGCAGAGAAGAAAAUAAAUCUCAAGUUGAAGCCGUAGGAAAGUUUAUUUUAGAACUUAGUACUGAUUUUGUACUUGAACUUAAGGAUGCUUUUUAUGUUCCUAAAUUUUCUAAAAAUUUAGUUUCCGUUUCUAAAUUGAGAAAUAAAGGUUUCAAAUUUUUAUUUGAAAAUGAAUCUUUUACUAUGUUCUCCGAUAGUAUUAUUGUUGGCAAAGGUUGUUUGGUAGAUGAUUUGUACAAAUUUAAUUUGAGUCAAUCUUUUAAAAAUAAUUUUAAUGUUAAUCAUGACAUUGGUGUUAAAAGAAACAUUCUUAAAAAAAAUUUCUUCUAUUUAUGGCACAAGCGUUUAGCCCAUAUCUCUUUAGAGAGAAUAAAGAGAUUGAUAAAAGAAAGGAUCUUACAAAAUUUUGACUUUACCGAUUUUGGUACUUGUGUGAAAUACAUAAAGGGAAAGCAUACUAACACAAAUACAACUAAAGGUGCUAGAAGGAGUUCUGAAAUUUUUGAGAUCAUAUAUACAGAUAUCUUUGAACCUUUUCCUACUCCUUGUUUCAAUGGUUAGAGAUAUUUUAUCUCAUUUAUUGAUGAGCAUUCAAGAUAUAUGUAUCUCUAUCUCUUAUUUGAAAAUUUUGAGACUCUUGAUGCUUUUAAAGUUUAUUAGCUUGAGAUAGAGAAAUAAUUGGAUAGAAAAAUCAAGAUUGUAAGGUCCGACAGAAGGGGUGAGUAUUAUGAAAGACAUAUGGAUAAUGGUCAAAUGGCCAGUCCAUUUGCUCAAUUCCUCGAAGGUGAAGGUAUCAUUGCACAGUAUACGAUGCCUGACACGCCCUAACAAAAUGGCGUUGCCGAAAGCAGGAAUAGAACACUCAUGGACAUGAUAAGGUGCAUGAUUAGCAGCUCUUGUCUUCCAUCUUCUCUUUAGAGGGAAGCACUAAAGACAGCGGUGUAUGUUUUAAAUAAGAUUCCAUCGAAGGCUAUUUCCAAAACUCCUUUUGAGUUAUGGAAAGAGUGAAAACCUAGUUUAAAUCACCUGCAUGUAUGGAGAUGUCCAACUGAGGUGAGGGUUUAUAAUCCACACAUAAAAAAAUUGGACCCUCGAACAGUCAGUAGAUAUUUCAUUUGCUAUGCGGUAAACUCCAAAGGAUUCAAAAUCUAUUGUCCAAAUAACUCAUCUAAGAUAGUUGAGGCCAAAAUGCCAAAUUCUUGAGGAUUCUGAAGCUAAUGGGAGUGUUGUUCCUCAAAAGAUAGAUUUUUAGGAAAUAAGGGAUUCAACUCGUUAUCCAUCAACCGAUAAUAAUCUAGUUGCUCUUCCAGGAGGUCAAUUUGACCAUAAUGGAGAUCAACUAAUCUUGGAGCAUGAAAAUACUGAACCAGUUGAACCUCCCCAUGAAGAGCUGUCCUAAGAGAAACAGAUAAUUAUCGAGCCAGCUGCACAGAAUAAUAAAAAUCUGCAGGAUGAGGUUGGCUUAAGAAGAUCCUUAAGAUAAAGGAGAUCGGUAAUUCCUGAUGAUCAUGUAGUCUAUCUUCAGGAGUCUGACUUUGAUGUCGGACACCAUAAAGACCCAUGAACGUUUUCAGAGGCCAUGUAGGAAAAAAAAACCUCCCUAUGGUAUGUGCCAUGAAGGAAGAGAUGAAAUCUAUGGCGGAUAAUAAAGUUUGGGAUCUCAUUGAGUUACCACAAGGAGUCAAAGCCAUUGGCUGUAAAUGAGUCUUCAAGACCAAAAAGGACUUUUUAGGUAACAUAGAAUGAUAUAAAGCUAGACUUGUUGCCAAAGGUUUCACUCAAAAGGAAUGCAUUGAUUAUCAUGAAACCUUCUUUGCGGUGUCAAAGAAGGAUUCAUUAAGAAUUAUCAUGGUUUUGGUAGCUCAUUUUGAUUUGGAGUUACAUCAGAUGGAUGUGAAAACGGCAUUUCUAAAUGGAAAUAUAGAGGAGAUAGUCUAUAUGCAACAGCCCGAAGGUUUUAGCACAGAUGAAAAUAAUCACCUUGUUUGCAGACGAAAGAAAUCUAUAUACGGACUUAAACAGACUUCCCGUCAGUGGUAUAUCAAGUUCCAUAAUGUAAUUAUUACAUUCGGUUUCAUAGAAAAUGUUGUGGACCAAUACAUAUACCUUAAGGUUAAUUAGUGGGUAUAUUUUAUUAGUUCGGUAUGUGGAUGACAUUCUGCUUGCAAGUAGUUAUUUUAAUUUGCUUAAAGAGACUAAAGAUUUUCUUUUUAAUAAUUUUGAGAUAAAGGAUAUGGGUGAAGCUUCUUAUGUCAUUAGCAUAAAGAUCACAGAAAUAGAUCUCAAAGAAUUUUUGGUCUAUCUCAGAAAGUCUACAUCGAAAGAGUUCUAGAAAAAUUUAAUAUGGCAAAUUGUGCACCUACAGCUGUACCUAUUAUAAAAGGCGACAAAUUUAAUCAGAAACAGUGUCCUCAGAAUAAUUUAGAACGAGAGUAUAUAAAGGGUAUAUCCCAUGCUUCUGUAGUAGGGAGCUUGAUAUAUGCGCAGGUCUGUACCAGACCUGAUAUAGCUUAUAUAGUGGGAAUGUUGGGUAGACACCAAAGUAACCCUGGCCUUAAUUAUUGGAAAGUUGCAAAUAAGGUUAUGAGAUAUUUACAGGAACAAAGGAUUAUAUGCUCACCUACAGACAUUCUGAUCUUGAGGUGGUUAGAUAUUCGGACUCUGAUUUUGCUGGAUGCGUGGAUUCUAGAAAGUUCACAUCAGAAUAUAUUUUCUUAUUUGCUCAAGGUGCUAUAUCUUAGAGGAGCACUAAGCAAGAUACAGUUGCUACAUCCACUAUAGAGACAGAGUUCAUCGCUUGCUAUAAGGCAUCGUCACAGGCUUUAUGGUUGAGAAAUUUUAUCUCAGGUUUAAGAGUUGUUGACUCUAUUUCAAGGCAAAUUAAGAUUUAUUGUGACAACUCUACUAUAGUGUUCUUUGCCAAGAAUAGUUGAAUUACAGAUCGCAGUAAACAUAUUGAUAUAAAGUAUUUUGCUGUGAAAGAAUACGAUAAAAAGAAGGUGGAUAUCCAACACAUUGGGACCGAGAUGAUAAUUGCUGAUCCUAUAACUAAAGCAUUACCGGCAAACAAAUUCAAUGAUCAUAUUUAUCAUAUGGGUAUCUUGAGUCCAUUUGCAGUUUAAGUAUUUUUUUCUUGUAUAAAGAUUUUAAAGAUUAUUUUUAUUUGAAUAAGAACACAUUUUGAUUUUUGCACAUAUGCGCAUAAAGUUAUCUUUUGUACAUUAAAGUAUUAUUCUGCACUAAAGAGGGACUCUGAGUUGAACUUAUAUAAUAAGUUCAUACGGUUAUAACUCAUAAAGUUAUUUGAUUAAGGAGUACGUGCUUUGAUACAUAGAAGGAAGUGUUCAUUUUUUGGGGCAUAACCGCUAUGAUCAAAGUAUUAUGAUUUCUUGGUCGAGUGGGAGAUUUUGACUGUAUAAUUUAGUUGGUACCUAAUAAAGUUUUUAUAUCGCCUAUAUGGUAAUGAAUAUAUCACUAGGCCAAAUAGAAGAAUAUUGGAUGUGGCCCACGUGAUAUAUUCAAGGCGAUUUAUAAAGAUACAGUCAAUCUAUUUAAGUCGAUCUAUAAAGAUAUGAUAGAUCUUACGGUUAGGAUGUAUCUGAACACGUUCUUGAUGGACGGACGUGAUUUAACAUCCUUACAUUAAGUUAUAUAUAAAUAUGUAACAUACGGGAGUCCCGGUCUAACUAUAUUCCAAUUGUCUAUGACGGCUUCAUCUCCGGGGAUAAGGAAAUUAGACUUGAAACGUCCUAUUUUAUUUGCAGAUCGCGAACGAUGACGAACCACGAGCAAAAAUCGCCGCCUACAAAUCGGGUACAGAAAUCGAAAUCAUGGCAGAAGGUAUAAUCAUAGUUUUUUAUAAAGCUUCAACAUUUCACACAUUAGUUGCACACAAAGAGUGAGAUGGUGGCUUGUUGUGAACACUUCCACAACAUAAUAACUAGUUAUAUCAACCACUUAGUUUACCCAAUGCACAAUUAGGGUUCAUAAACAAGUUUUUUAAUCNAUAUAUAUAUAUAUAUAUAUAUAUAUAUAUAUAUAUAUAUAUAGCUACUAUUACAAACAUGAAGAUUGAUUAAAUAGAAAGUUUUUCAUGAGCAAUUUUAACACUCCCACUUACGUGCACGAUACAGAUUAGAUAAAUAGAAUAUAUAGUUAACACACCAAAUAAAAUAUGAAAAUUUAAUUCAUUAAAUAUGAGAUAUUAAGAAUAAUAUUAUUCUAUAACAAUUUAAGUAAAAACUUGUUAUUUCAGGGAUAGAGUUAAGUUCAGGGUUAAGGUGGGGUUAGAGUAAUUUUGUGUUUGGUUGAGAAUUGGGUUUAGCUCAGGUAUAGAUAAAAUAGUGUUUGGUUGGAGUAGGUGGGAUAAGAAAGAUAGUGAGUAAAAUAGUAUUUUGUUUGAUUGGAAUAAUGGGGUGGGGUGGGGUUAGCUAAUCCCAUCCCAAAUAGGCUAUCUCGGGAUAGCCCAUUUGGGGUGGGGUUAGCUAACCCCACCCGGGGUUAGCUAACCCCACCCCUUAAAUUGGGUGUUUGGAAAUAACUUCGGGGUUAAGGCGUUAUUCCACCCCUUAACCCCGAACCAAACGGGUUCUUAGAGACAAACAGUUCUUUCUAAUGAUUUUAAAAUAAAUUGUCUGAUAAUUUAAGCUUAUAUAAUUAUAUACCCAAAAAUUAAAGACUAAUCAAUCUGAUAACUAAAAAACUCUUCAAAAUAAUUUAAACAACUAUAAAACUUUGAUAAAUAAAUGUCACGCCCCGGAUUACACGUUCCCCGGGCACGCCGACAAAUCCGCCGUAUACAAAGAAAUUUUUCCUGUAUACGAAGCGACAGCUGUACCUGUAAAUCAAACACUACUACGAACAGUAGUAGAGAGCUGCUAGAGAAAACAGAAGCUAAAUAAAACAGAGUUUCAUAUACAUAGUUCAGAUCCAAAAUACAGAGCUACUCGCACUGGCGAGUUAAGUCAACUAUGUACAUAAACUCGAAACAAAACAUCUACCUGCAGUAGGGCACCUCUAGCUCAGCACGUCGGGUAGGGCUCUAACUCGCGACGCCCUUGCCUCGAUUCUGAUCCACGGACGGUGCAGCAGCCGGAACCUGUGGCUCUGCAAAAACAUAGGUAACAACUGGGCGUGAGAACUACUGUAAAAACAAGUAGUCCUCAGUGGGUACCGCCCAAAACAACAUCGGUCACCCACUAAGUCUACAGAAGGGAGCAAGGAUAGAAGUAAAGCAGGAAGCAUACUCUACCGCUAUCAUCCACUACACUAUCAUGCUCUACACUAACCAACUGUAGGAAAUGUCAAGUCUGACCCAAUCCAAAUCGGGACUGUAAGCAUACCCGUCCCCGGGACUGUGAAUACACCCGUUCCUGCCCCGUUGCGACUAUCGGGCUUUAUCCACUCUAACUGGUCCGUGGAGAGCAAGUCCAACUAGCAUGAGCGACACCAACGCAAAAGCACAAGCCUGACUCCGGAGUGGUACUCGUGGGCGCUACCCAACCGAGUAUGCAGCGUAUCUCUGUCGAGCUCAAUCAGGCUCCAACUAGCCAAAGUCAAGUAAUCGACUCAAACUGGUCUAACAACCAACAGGUAACCUGCCCUCGGCACAAUCUGACGCCAAAAAGGCGGUACGGGUCCACCGUCAAUUCUGACGGCACCCAACAGUCCGAAACGACCUGAACGACCCUGUAAAAAUCCACUCGGCGAACCAGCACGAGUGUAAAUACAUUCUAAACUACCUGGAGUACUCGUCUUGAAGAAACUGCGACAGUACAAUUUUCUAACGGCUCCUAGAGCUAAAUCAGGUAGUUAAAACUGGUGACAGGUCCAAAUCGCAGGUUUUCUCCUAAUUCAAUUUCCAAGUCCAACAUGUAUAAUCUACUUAAUUUAUAAAACAUGCUCCAAAAUUCAGAUUCCACAAUCUACAUAUAGUCCAUGAAUUUGAGCUAACACAAUUUACCGAAAUCAAGAUCUAUACAUGUCGACCAAUAAGAACUUAGGAGUAAAGCCGAUGUAACCCACCUCGCACGCUAAUCCCUGGCAGCACAGAACCCCCUCGACUGCGACACCACCUGCUGGAUCGACCAAAAACGCCCGAGUCUCGAAAUCGAGCUAACUCCAAACUAAAACACCAAAAUUUCUCAAUUCAGUCCAAAAUCCACAGCAGCAGAGAAGAGAAGGAUUUCGACCAAGCUAACCUUCACCAAAAUUCGCAAGUAAAGGCUUCGUGGAUUCCUCUCGAAGUCCCGAAUCCAACGAACCAAGUCUCGUUGAAAUCCGAUGCUCCUACGUCGCGUACGAGCUGAAAUACUAACAGUCGACGGUGGAUUUCAGCAAACAACACUUUUCCGAGUUGAAGUAGCAAACACCUGCCCAAAAAUUCAGGGAAAUGCUGAAUUACUCACCUCGACAACACCAGGCACCGCUGCGACAGUAAAAACGGCGAAAAACCUCCGCUCGCCCAGCCUCCUCGCGCUACCCCGGCGUCAAACGCGAGCUCAAACGGUUCCGCGGCGCGAUGUCGGCGACGGAUUCUCCAACCAAGCUCUCCACUGUAACCGAGUCUAGAGAGAGAGAGGAGAAGAGAACGCAACAAGAACUCUCUCUCUCUCAGCACCAAACUAUAUAGAGAGGGAAUGGGUUGGUGAUACAAACGAGGGAGAGAAAAGACCCAAUUACCCCCUCACCUACUCAAGUGUACCGGUACACGGGCCUCUGUACCGGUACACAUGCCAACCCGAGAGCAGUCUGCGCGAUGGUUGUAC